rnacentral:rRNA from 1 species
CAGUAGCCACGGUAAUACGUAGGUCCCGAGCGUUGUCCGGAUUUAUUGGGCGUAAAGCGAGCGCAGGCGGUUAGAUAAGUCUGAAGUUAAAGGCUGUGGCUUAACCAUAGUACGCUUUGGAAACUGUUUAACUUGAGUGCAAGAGGGGGGAGUGGAAUUCCAUGUGUAGCGGUGAAAUGCGUAGAUAUAUGGAGGAACACCGGUGGCGAAAGCGGCUCUCUGGCUUGUAACUGACGCUGAGGCUCGAAAGCGUGGGGAGCAAACAGAAUUAGAUACCCCUGUAGUCCCUGUCUCUAUACAC